GGAGCAAGAUACUGAUGCACAGACACAGCUGAGACAGAACAGGAUGGAGACAAGUGUGUUCAUUGGAAGCUCAGAGGACCCCACUGUCCCCUACAGCUCAUCUGGACCCAACAGCUCCCAGCCAUCCUACAUGAAGCACUAUAUCCUGGUCGUACUGGUGGUGCUGGCCACAGCUGGGAUCUCUGCUGGCAUAACCUUCUACUGCACCCAGAAGCAAGAAUGCACUGAUGAGAAGACUGGCUUGCAGAUGACUGGAAGCAAAGUUUCUACUGGAUGCAACAACCACACCACAAGUAAAUGGAAAAGAAACAUUAUACAUAAACACCAAGGCGUUUAUGAGGUUUUCACUGUGCCAAAAGAUGGGAAUUACUUCAUCCAUGGCCUAAUUUGGAAGUCAGAAGAGAAGCAAAAAUACCCGCCAAAUGAUUUUGUCUGGCUUUUGAAGAAAUUGAGAAGCGAUGAUGAAAUUGCUAACACAACAUUCUGUGGCAACCGUGCUUCUUUUGCCUGUGAAUUACAGAAUAUGAAGAAAACCACAAAGAUACAUGUUAAAAUUAACACGGGGAAGCCUAAUCUAGAAAAGACCGUGUUUCACAUUUAUGAACUUUAAAGGGACAAGGGAUUUUGUUCCACGAUUUCAAACUUGGGCUGGGGCAUCUGUGGACUUCAGAAGAGGGGCAACAGGUAUUCUACACCCUAGUAGCUCACCUGGCACAGAAUCAUGCUCCACAUUGUGACUGUAACUGAAUGUGAACGUGAUACUGAACGUGAAUGUAACUGGUGCAAAAACAGCCUGCAUGGUCUGGUGUACUCUGUACCUCUGUGCACAAUGCAGACACACUACCGUGUGCACACGGAGACUGAAUAUGGGCAACAUUAAUCUCUUCACUGACAAGAGUAUGGAAUCAUGUUGUUCAUGUUAAAAUCUUAAAAACUUAUACAGAGCGGAGGGUCCCUAAUGUGAUCAAUUUAAUAUCAAUUUAUUUCUCUAAUAUGCGAUCCUGACAAUACCCAAACCAAUGUGAAAGUCAUUAGAAUAAAUUUAAAGAGGGUACUUUGUGAUUUGUAUUUGUUAUGUACACACACUGAUUGGACGUAAAUUGAAUAAUAAAAAAUAAUCAAAAGGCAAAUGUAAUUUCAUACAUGUAUGCCUUUAAGAGGGCUUCACAUAUAUUGUUAAGAUAAGAGUAAUAUAUCUUGAGUGUCACUGUAUUUAAUACAUGCCACACACACACACACACACACACAGGGCUACAGUGCACAUGGGUAACAGACACAUUAAGACACAAUAAGUGGUGCCUUAGGGGUAUCUGUGAGUGUGUUACCAUCCAGGAUGUUAUAAUGCAAUCUUAUCAUUUUAUAUGAGCCCCUGUGUUACAUACUGCUCACAAAACAAAAAUAAAAAAUUUAAA